rnacentral:tRNA from 1 species
GCAGUGGCUCAACUGGUAGAGCAUCGGUCUCCAAAACCGGCGGUUGGGGGUUCGAGUCCCUCCUGCC